CACGUAGGGCGCAAGCGUUGUCCGGAUUUAUUGGGCGUAAAGAGCGAUGUAGGCGGCCAGGUAGGUCUGCUGUGAAAACUCGAGGCUCAACCUCGAGACGUCGGCGGAAACCAUCUGGCUAGGAGUCCGGAAGAGGAGAGUGGGAAUUCCUGGAUGUAGCGGUGAAAUGCGCAGAUAUACAGGAAGAACACCCGUGGCGAAGGCGGCUCUCUGGGACGGUACUGACGCUGAGACGCGAAAGCGUGGGGAGCGAACAGG
rnacentral:rRNA from 1 species